AACGCUAGCUACAGGCUUAACACAUGCAAGUCGAGGGGAAACGACAUCGAAAGCUUGCUUUUGAUGGGCGUCGACCGGCGCACGGGUGAGUAACGCGUAUCCAACCUGCCCAUCACUUGGGGAUAACCUUGCGAAAGUAAGACUAAUACCCAAUGACGUCUCUAGAAGACAUCUGAAGGAGAUUAAAGAUUUAUCGGUGAUGGAUGGGGAUGCGUCUGAUUAGCUUGUUGGCGGGGUAACGGCCCACCAAGGCAACGAUCAGUAGGGGUUCUGAGAGGAAGGUCCCCCACAUUGGAACUGAGACACGGUCCAAACUCCUACGGGAGGCAGCAGUGAGGAAUAUUGGUCAAUGGACGAGAGUCUGAACCAGCCAAGUAGCGUGCAGGAUGACGGCCCUAUGGGUUGUAAACUGCUUUUAUAAGGGAAUAAAGUGAGUCUCGUGAGACUUUUUGCAUGUACCUUAUGAAUAAGGACCGGCUAAUUCCGUGCCAGCAGCCGCGGUAAUACGGAAGGUCCGGGCGUUAUCCGGAUUUAUUGGGUUUAAAGGGAGCGUAGGCCGGAGAUUAAGCGUGUUGUGAAAUGUAGACGCUCAACGUCUGCACUGCAGCGCGAACUGGUUUCCUUGAGUACGCACAAAGUGGGCGGAAUUCGUGGUGUAGCGGUGAAAUGCUUAGAUAUCACGAAGAACUCCGAUUG
rnacentral:rRNA from 1 species